rnacentral:rRNA from 1 species
GACGAACGCUGGCGGCGUGCUUAACACAUGCAAGUCGAACGGAAAGGCCCUGCUUUUGUGGGGUGCUCGAGUGGCGAACGGGUGAGUAACACGUGAGUAACCUGCCCUCGACUUUGGACUAACUUCAGUAAACUGGGGCCAAUACCGGAUAGGAGCUCCUGCGCCAUGGUGGGGGUUGGAAAGUUUCGGCGGUGGGGGAUGGGCUGGCGGCUUAUCAGCCUGUGGGUGGGGUAGUGGCUUACCAAGGCUUUGACGGGUAGCCGGCCGGAGAGGGUGACCGGCCACCUUAGGACUAAGAUGAGGCCCAGCCUCCUACGGGAGGCAGCAGUGGGGAAUAUUGCACAAUGGGCGGAAGACUGAUGCAGCAACGCCGCGUGCGGGAUGACGGCCUUCGGGGUGUAAACCGCUUUCGCCUGUGACGAAGCGUGAGUGACGGUAAUGGGUAAAGAAGCACCGGCUAACUACGUG